rnacentral:rRNA from 5 species
CCUAGUGACAAUAGCGGAGAGGAAACACCCGUUCCCAUCCCGAACACGGAAGUUAAGCUCUCCAGCGCCGAUGGUAGUUGGGGCCAGCGCCCCUGCGAGAGUAGGUCGUCGCUAGGC